UCAGAUUGAACGCUGGCGGCAUGCUUUACACAUGCAAGUCGAACGGCAGCACGAAAGAGCUUGCUCUUUUGGUGGCGAGUGGCGAACGGGUGAGUAAUACAUUGGAACGUACCGAGUAAUGGGGGAUAACUGUCCGAAAGGAUGGCUAAUACCGCAUACGCUCUGAGGAGGAAAGCGGGGGACCUUCGGGCCUCGCGUUAUUCGAGCGGCCAAUGUCUGAUUAGCUAGUUGGUGGGGUAAAGGCCUACCAAGGCGACGAUCAGUAGUGGGUCUGAGAGGAUGAUCCGCCACACUGGGACUGAGACACGGCCCAGACUCCUACGGGAGGCA
rnacentral:rRNA from 1 species